UACGUAGGGUGCAAGCGUUAUCCGGAUUUACUGGGUGUAAAGGGCGAGUAGACGGCGUUACAAGUCAGAUGUGAAAUCUUGGGGCUCAACUUCAAAAUUGCAUCUGAAACUGUAAUGCUAGAGUGCAGGAGAGGUAAACGGAAUUCCUAGUGUAGCGGUGAAAUGCGUAGAUAUUAGGAAGAACAUCAGUGGCGAAGGCGGUUUACUGGACUGUAACUGACGUUGAGGCGCGAAAGCGUGGGGAGCAAACAGG
rnacentral:rRNA from 1 species